AGGUGGGGAAGGUGGGACCUGGGCCCUGUCAGGGGGCUCUGGGGGUAGCUGUGGGCAGUUCAGGUGAAGAAGCUCUGCAGGAGGCUGGGCUUGAGGGCACAGAAAUAGUCAGUCCAGAAAAGCUAGAGCCUGUUUUUCAGCAGCCAUGGAAAAGAUGUAAAAGAAGGUGGCUGUAGCCUGCUGUCUAACUUGCUAUGGUUUUGGAGGGGUUAGUCUACUGCUGAACUAUGGGAACUGCACUGCACACGUAUUGAGCAGUGGGAGCUUGACUGCUUUAUCUUGAUGACACACUUUGAUUUCUUUCUUGGCGUUUGCAGUAUGUGCUGUGGUGCAGAGGAUUCCAGUUGCCAUAAUUUUCAGUGGAAAGAAUAAUUAUCACAGGGAACUGUUGGGGAGGACUGCAAUCCACAGUGAGGAGAAACCCUACAUGGACACUCAUGUGGAGCUGAAGAAUACAGUUGCAAAUGUGGCUGUAUUAUGACUUCAGACCUCAGAAGUAACUUAGGACUCUUGUGUCAGAUGUGUCCUUCGAAGGAAUGUACACUUCCGGCAUGGACUCAUUCUGCACUUAGAAAGCAGAAAGGAUUUUGUACUUCCUGACUGGAAGGUUCUUACAAAAAGAAGACCAUAGGAGGCAGUGGCAUUGGAAAUGAUGAACAAUAACCCCAAAUGAAUUCUCAGAUUCUCUUCCUGUAUAUUAUAUUCAAGUUGAGAUAUGUUUCAGAUGCUUCAAAUCACUCCACCACCACUUCCUGUGUACAUCCCAACCCCACUGCAGCAGAAGAUUCACCUGUUCAUCCCACAUAGGUGGAAAUUGCCAUACUAAUACCUCAUGAAAGCUAUGUCAGUAUGUCUGAGGUACCCUUAGGCCAGUGCUAUUUAUUUUGCUUUCUUCACUUGGGGCAUAGCUAUGUCUCACAGUAAGUUAAUCUCAACCUUCUGAGUGCUGGGAUCUAAUUACCCUCCUUUAUUCAAGCAGCUGCUACAAAGAGUUGAAAAGUAGAAGUCCCUUUGGUGUCCAUUAUGAGCAGGUUUUGCUGUGUUUCUUUUGCAGAAGCAUUCAUAUUUUCCAAAAAUGAGAGCACUGACUAUCUGCAAAGAAGCUCAAACACAAACUUGCUGUUACAUUUUGAAAAAUAACACGAAGUUGCAUAUAAACUGUCACACAGUCAUAUGAAUAAGCCAGCUCUUGUUUUACUCAGACUGAAGGGAUCACUGCUGGUGGGCUUUGGCCUGAAGCGCUCCCCAGACUGCCCCGAACAGUCGAGUGGUACCCUGUUAGUGCCGGUGGGGGUUUUUGGUCAGUGGUGAGUUGUGUACCUCAUCCUUUCCUCCUCACUUUAAUAGUAAUUCACAUGCCAAUCUGGAUUUAUCUCUUGUACUAUGGUUAUGUGGAUUUAUCAGCCACUGCAAUUAAUUUGUUGGGAGGCUACCAUUUGGUCACAUAUCUCACUGUUAUGAGUUUGGUUAAGGAAGAAAAUAAAUUUGUAGCAUGGUUGAAAUCAGUGGGCUAACUUUUACAGUGACAAUUAGAGCAGUUUAAUCCAGUGUUUUAAGUACCCUAAUGUAGGGAAUUACUUAGAUAUUUGAAAGGGAAAAAAAAAAUCGCGGGAACACAAGCUCUGAAGUCUAUCUGAUCAGUGCUUAAGGACAGUAUUACACAGCUGGAAAAGGAGCUCUAUUUGCUGUGUAUGAAUAGCCCUUCUUAGAUAAUGCUGCCAUAUAUAAAAGUUUUGAAAGUCAGGAGUGUGUCUAUUCUGUUUAUUCUUAAUUCGUCUCUUUUAUUUUGACAAAAUGUUCAGCUGCUGGUCACUGGAAUCACUCUUAGUGGCAAAAUCAUUAGUUUUCUUCUAACUACUAAAAGGACUGCUUAAAAAAUGCUUUACACAGUCCCAGGUGGGAAAUGACGAAUCCGAAUGGGGAUGGAGAUCAGUUGUGCUACACAACUGCUGCUUACUCAGAUAUACAGGGGUUUGUGCAUUUCAUUUAUAUCAACUUACUCUACAUGAGUUGUCAGAAACUGUACUGUACUGUGUUAGGAAAAUCUACCUCUGUGGACUGUGAAUCAGAAUUCCUCGCAUCAGCUUUUUCCCAAAAUUAAACGGAUCUAUAAUAAAUCAAUUUUAUUGGGAGUAAAAAUGUCAUAUGUUGGCAUUUCUAAUUAAAAAGGCGUGUCAGUUUCUUAAAAUUUAAUGUCUCAUGUCUCUACUGGUCUCCUACAGCAGUAAUACUGUUCACUUGACACCUCAUAAAUAAUUUUCACUUGAAGACUUCUAUAUGGAAGACACUUUAGAUCAUCUGAAUGAAUUAAUACAUAAGAAUUUCAUGCAUUGCAGAGAAAUGGGUGAAAUUAAUACCAAGUGCUAAAAGUCAUCAACAGGAACUAUGUAACUUUGGAUGUAACUCUUAAUGUUGCUGUUAAGCAAUAACCUUCACUACUUCUAUUAAUACUUUAUGUAAUCAGGUCAGCAGAGAAAAACAAUAUUGAAUUCUAUGGGCUCCCUAUGUGAAAGCCAUUCCCUAAUUCCUUUUAGGAUACAGAGAAGUAAUUCUUAAUAG